rnacentral:rRNA from 1 species
GACGAACGCUGGCGGCGUGCCUAAUACAUGCAAGUCGAGCGGAUGACGGAGGAGCUUGCUCCUCCUGAUUCAGCGGCGGACGGGUGAGUAACACGUGAGCAACCUGCCCUGUAGAUUGGGAUAACUCCGGGAAACCGGGGCUAAUACCGAAUAAUCCUUCGGACCUCAUGGUCCGAUGUUGAAAGACGGCAUCUCGCUGUCACUACAGGACGGGCCCGCGGCGCAUUAGCUAGUUGGUGAGGUAACGGCUCACCAAGGCCACGAUGCGUAGCCGACCUGAGAGGGUGAUCGGCCACACUGGGACUGAGACACGGCCCAGACUCCUACGGGAGGCAGCAGUAGGGAAUCUUCCACAAUGGACGAAAGUCUGAUGGAGCAACGCCGCGUGAGUGAAGAAGGUUCUCGGAUCGUAAAACUCUGUUGUGAGGGAAGAACAAGUACCGGAGUAACUGCCGGUGCCUUGACGGUACCUCAUUAGAAAGCCACGGCUAACUACGUGCCAGCCGCCGCAGUAA